GAUUGGAGUUCUAUUAAGGUUGUU
rnacentral:piRNA from 1 species